CGCGAAUUCGCCCUUCGGGGCGCAGCAGGCGCGAAAACUUUACAAUGCGGGAAACCGUGAUAAGGGGACACCGAGUGCCAGCAUCAUAUGCUGGCUGUCCGGGUGUGUAAAAUACACCUGUUAGCAAGGGCCGGGCAAGACCGGUGCCAGCCGCCGCGGUAACACCGGCGGCCCGAGUGGUGAUCGUGAUUAUUGGGUCUAAAGGGUCCGUAGCCGGUUUGGUCAGUCCUCCGGGAAAUCUGAUAGCUCAACUAUUAGGCUUUCGGGGGAUACUGCCAGACUUGGAACCGGGAGAGGUAAGAGGUACUACAGGGGUAGGAGUGAAAUCUUGUAAUCCCUGUGGGACCACCUGUGGCGAAGGCGUCUUACCAGAACGGGUUCGACGGUGAGGGACGAAAGCUGGGGGCACGAACCGGAUUAGAUACCCGGGUAGUCCCAGCCGUAAACGAUGCUCGCUAGGUGUCAGGCAUGGCGCGACCGUGUCUGGUGCCGCAGGGAAGCCGUGAAGCGAGCCACCUGGGAAGUACGGCCGCAAGGCUGAAACUUAAAGGAAUUGGCGGGGGAGCAC
rnacentral:rRNA from 1 species